rnacentral:rRNA from 1 species
GAUGAACGCUGGCGGCGUGCCUAAUACAUGCAAGUCGAGCGAACGGACGAGAAGCUUGCUUCUCUGAUGUUAGCGGCGGACGGGUGAGUAACACGUGGAUAACCUACCUAUAAGACUGGGAUAACUUCGGGAAACCGUAGCUAAUACCGGAUAAUAUUUUGAACCGCAUGGUUCAAAAGUGAAAGACGGUCUUGCUGUCACUUAUAGAUGGAUCCGCGCUGCAUUAGCUAGUUGGUAAGGUAACGGCUUACCAAGGCAACGAUGCAUAGCCGACCUGAGAGGGUGAUCGGCCACACUGGAACUGAGACACGGUCCAGACUCCUACGGGAGGCAGCAGUAGGGAAUCUUCCGCAAUGGGCGAAAGCCUGACGGAGCAACGCCGCGUGAGUGAUGAAGGUCUUCGGAUCGUAAAACUCUGUUAUUAGGGAAGAACAUAUGUGUAAGUAACUGUGCACAUCUUGACGGUACCUAAUCAGAAAGCCACGGCUAACUACGUGCCAGCAGCCGCGGUAAUACGUAGGUGGCAAGCGUUAUCCGGAAUUAUUGGGCGUAAAGCGCGCGUAGGCGGUUUUUUAAGUCUGAUGUGAAAGCCCACGGCUCAACCGUGGAGGGUCAUUGGAAACUGGAAAACUUGAGUGCAGAAGAGGAAAGUGGAAUUCCAUGUGUAGCGGUGAAAUGCGCAGAGAUAUGGAGGAACACCAGUGGCGAAGGCGACUUUCUGGUCUGUAACUGACGCUGAUGUGCGAAAGCGUGGGGAUCAAACAGGAUUAGAUACCCUGGUAGUCCACGCCGUAAACGAUGAGUGCUAAGUGUUAGGGGGUUUCCGCCCCUUAGUGCUGCAGCUAACGCAUUAAGCACUCCGCCUGGGGAGUACGACCGCAAGGUUGAAACUCAAAGGAAUUGACGGGGACCCGCACAAGCGGUGGAGCAUGUGGUUUAAUUCGAAGCAACGCGAAGAACCUUACCAAAUCUUGACAUCCUUUGACAACUCUAGAGAUAGAGCCUUCUCCUUCGGGGGACAAAGUGACAGGUGGUGCAUGGUUGUCGUCAGCUCGUGUCGUGAGAUGUUGGGUUAAGUCCCGCAACGAGCGCAACCCUUAAGCUUAGUUGCCAUCAUUAAGUUGGGCACUCUAAGUUGACUGCCGGUGACAAACCGGAGGAAGGUGGGGAUGACGUCAAAUCAUCAUGCCCCUUAUGAUUUGGGCUACACACGUGCUACAAUGGACAAUACAAAGGGCAGCGAAACCGCGAGGUCAAGCAAAUCCCAUAAAGUUGUUCUCAGUUCGGAUUGUAGUCUGCAACUCGACUACAUGGAGCUGGAAUCGCUAGUAAUCGUAGAUCAGCAUGCUACGGUGAAUACGUUCCCGGGUCU